CCCAUUAGGGUCAUUCUAAGGAGGCUACCAAAACCAAAAACCAAACCAGUUGCUGUGGAUUCUUCUUAGGUGCCUCUGGGUGGGUUUGAACUGCCAACCUUUCAAUUGGUAGCCCAGUGCUUAACCAUUUGAGUUGCCUAGGGAAACCUGGUUGCGACUGCUCUGGCCUGGAACUCCCUCUGCUGACACCAUCUCUCCUAGUCCUACAUUUCCCGCAGACUUCCGCAGAGGACACUCUCAACUUCACUCCAGGGAAGGGUCUUUGGAAGCCUGGUUAAAUGUUCUCCCAGGCUCUUCAAGGAGCCUCAACUGGUCAGAGCCUGGAUCUAGCAGGGCUUCAGUGACUUCAGCCCCCUUUCAUGCCCCUUAGCUCCAUGAAAGCACUUAACCAUUAUGCUCUCAUCCUACGGUUGGUCAAGAAAGUGUUGUGUUUGGUGUCAGGGAUAUCCUGGAUUCAAACCCUGACCCUGUCACGUACUACUCCCCAAGUGAGCUUUCACAGGUCAUUCCAAGUCUUAAGAGCUUCAGUUUCCUCAUCUUCAAAAUGUUUGUGAGAACAAUGCCUACCUUGCUGGUGUGUUGUGAGACAGGAAUGAAAUGCCCUGUGAAAAUGCCAAGCAGUCCUGACAUAUUGUGGAUACUUAUAGAUUUCCAGAUUUGUGACAGAAAAAUGAACAAAUAGUCUUUGUUUUGCGGGGUGCUGAUGCUCUGUUCUGACAUUCCACCCUCCUCCUCCAGGCUGAUUUGAGCAAAAGGCUCACAGUGUGCCGAGCACCACCUCCUCAGCUGGGGUCUGGGUCCUGGACACUAAAUUCCACCUCUGUCCAAACUCCAAACUGUUUUCUCUUAGCUCCAGACUGCCUGCUCUCAGCUCUGUAGCCAUUUUCUUCUUAGAAUUCCUAGCACAAAAACGCCCUUGCUGAAUGACUUUAUUACACUGAGGUACAAUUAAAACCAAAGCAAUAAAAUUCAUGACAUCCUGUUAAUAGUUGCUGUGGAAGUUCCCUUUUAUACAAAACACAGGGACUUCCUACUUUAGGAUCUACUGUAAUUUUUCAAUAAACAUCAGUUUUUCAAACUUCUCUCUUUCUCUUUUUGGAUUGCCUGCUUAUAAGCAGUGGGCGAGACAUCUACUUUUUUUUUUUUUGGUUUUGUUUUGAUUAACCAGCUUCCUCUUCCAUAAAUGCCUUUAUUCUAUCAUUUUUCAAAACUUUUUAUUGUGGUGAAAUAUAGGUAACAACAUAUUUGCCAUCUCAACUAUUUUUAAGUGUAUAAUUCAGUGAUAUUUGUUGUGUUCACCAUGUUGAGCAACAAUGAACCACUAUCUGGAGACAUCUAUUUCUUACAGCUACAGUCCUUCUAGACCUUCUCUUGCUCUCUUCUUUCUUCCCUGUCCAUUGGGACAAAGAAUCCUGGAAGGAAGAUAGAGGAAUAAAGUAUUUUGAAGACUAGAGAUGGAGUUCUUAACAGGACAAGGAUGUGUGUUAAGAAGCUAUUGCAAUAUUUCAGAAAUAAUAAUGCCUCGAACUAAACCAGCAGCAGGAAGAAAGUAAGGGUAUGGAUCAAUGCCAAAGCCAAUGUGAUGUUGCACUUGGAGAUAAAGGAGAGGAGGAGAUAAAACUGUUCUUGGUGUUCCCAGCCUGAGUGACUGCAAGUCUGGCAACAGCAGUGGCUGCCCCAGGGAAUGAAGGAAAUGGAGUGGUAAUCUCAUCCACUCCCACACUCCCAUACAAAUAACUCUCAAAUUAUUCUUCCAGCCAUAUUGUCUCCAGAGCAUAAAUUUGGGAUUGGGCAAUACUGCAUUGAGUAAAUGAGGGGCUAAAUUUAAGGAAUUCCUAAUUAAGAGGAGCCGAUGAAGGUGUGUGAGAAAGUGUUCGGAGAGGGAGGAGAAGGGGAAGGGCAAUGCAUCACACAAGUCAGAAGAGAUCAGUCAAAGAGGGAGGCCAAUAGCAUGGAAUGCUGCAGAGGGGCUAAGGAGGCCGAAGACCAAAAAGAGAUCCUUAGCAAAUGUCUUCAGUUACCUAGUGCUGCUGUAACAGAAAUACCACCAGCCAGUGGCUUUAUAGAACAGAAAUUUAUUUUCUCUCAGUUCUGGAGGAAGGAAGUUUAAAUCAGGGUCUUGGCCAUGUCUAUUCCUUCUGUGGCUCUCUCCUAGUUUCUAGUGACUGUCAGCAAUCCUUGGUUCCUUUGCUUGUAGAUGGGUCCUCAAAUGGCACCUGUCUUUCCCUUGAGUGUGUGUGUCUAAUCUGCUCUUUUUAUAACUCAUAAGUGAUUAGGUUUAGGACCCAGCCUAUGCUGGUAUGAUCUCAUUAACAUAACAAAAGAAAAACCAUAUAUCCGAACAGGAUCACAUCCACAGGUACAGGGGCCAGUACUUUGAAUUUUGGAGGACACAAUGCAAUCCAUAACAGCAGAGCUGGAGCAGAGGGCAGAGGAGGCAGAAGUCAGCCUGUGAAGAGCUAAUGAGCUAAUGGGAGGCAAGGGAGAAAAGGGUAGGCUGCUUUCUCAUGAGCUUUGAAAAGGAAGAAAGACAGUCCCACAUUUAGUGGGCUUGAUGCUCAGAACAGUGGGUAUUGCACAGGGAGAAGAGAGGCCGCCCUUUGCCUGCAGCCCUCACUUGCCCCUUUGCUCCUGUGUCUUCCUCCCACUCAGCUUCAGCCCCACGCAGGUUCAUGAGUCUUUCUGAAACAUUGGUCAGUCUGUAGUAAUAUCUUUCCACUGAUGAAACAUGUAUUUUCUUCUCCUUUCUGCAUAAGCUCUCGUUACUUUCCUCUUGAACAGAACUCAGCAGUUAAGUUAGCCUAAACCCCAACUCAUUUCCAAAUAAGCCAAGAAAAGCAUGUGGUCCAAGGGCAGGUGUCAGUGUCAAAUAGCAGGUACUCCUUAAAGUUUCAGAGCCCAGGGGGAGGGGGUUGAGGCCUGAGGCAAAUGAUUAGGUUUUCAGACACUUUUUUUUUUUUUUAAUACACUUUAUUUUUUAGAGUAGUUUUAGGUGUACAGAAACACGGCAUGUAAAGUAAGAAUUGUAUUGUUCUUUAUGUACAAAGUACAAGUGCACAUUGUUUCUUGAGUGACACACAUUUUGCAUUAGUGUGUACAUCUGUUACAAUUGGUGAACCAAUAUGGGUUCAUUACUAUUAACUAUGUUAUUAGUAGAGUCCAUAGUUUUCAUUACGAUUCCCUAUUUGUGUUGUACAGUUCUACGGGUUUUGAGAAAUACAUAACGUCAAUCACCAUUCCAGGAUCAUGCAGAAUAGCUUCAAUGCCCUUAAAAUGUCCUGUGCUUCACCUAUUCGGCCUUCUUUCCUUUCCCCUGAACUCCCGGAAACCAUUGACCGUACUGUCUAUAAUUUUCCAGAAUGUCAGAUAGUUGGACUCACACUGCACAUAACUUUUUCAGACUGGCUUCUUUUCACUAAGCAAUAACAUUUAAGGUUCUUCCCCUCUUUUCGUACCUUGAUAGUUCUGUUUCUUUUUACUGCUGAAUAAUACUGCAUUUUUUUGGAUGUACCACAGUAUGUUUAUCUAUUGACCUAUUGAAGGACAUCAUGGUUACUUCCAUCUAAACACUUUUCACCUGAACUUCUGCUCUGGGCACACAUUUUGAUCACAGGAAGCACCUCAAAGACAGUGUGGAAGUGGAAGAGAAUCAGCAACAAGCCAGCAAAAGUCCCCCUUGACUAGGUGUAAAAGUAGGGAGGGAACAGUUCCAUCCAUUGUCCCGCUUUAUCUUAGAGAAAGUUGGGGAACAGAGGGAUGAAACCACCUGACAGUAUAGAAUUCUCAGACGUCAAAAUUUAACAGGACUUGCCCAACCCCUUCUACAACCUCUCUUUCCUAGGGUUACUGCCUAUUUGCCACUCUGGCUCCCCAGUGAUGAACCUGAGGACUUAUUUACAAGCUUUACCCUGAAGACAAUUACGUAUCUAAUUGCUGUAGUUUCAGAGCCUCAGAAUCCCUGAGGGAUAGAAGUGGCGUAUGCCACUAACUAUAAUAAUAACAUCUACUCUCUAUUGAGUUCUUACUGGGCACCAAGAAAAUUUUACGCAACUGAUGGCCAUCAUUUCAUUUAUUCCAUAUAAAAACCCAUUUACAGUAAAGGAAAAUGAGUUUUAAGUAACUUGUUCAGGAGCACAGAGCUAAUGUAUGGCUAUGAUUAAACCCAGGUUUGCAGAACUCCAAAGCCAACAUAACACUCUUUAAAGAAUAUGGUAGAAGAAAUUUGCCACCCGUAACAAUUUCACGUAAUCUGAAUACACUUCAGCAAUUCUUCUUUUUUCCAGAAUCCAAAGGGUGUCAAAAAUAUUUCAGCUAUAAACCUACUUUCUCCCUAAUUAAAAACAAACAACAACAAAUAAAGAAAUAAAAUUAGAAGAAAAAAAGAAAUACUUUACUACUACCGAAAAACAAACAAUAACAAAAACAGGAACAUUUCUUUCAGGAAUGGUGGUAACCUGCCUAGUGGUAGAGAAUUAUUUGAUCUGUAGAGGUCAUCUAACAUUCUGACUCAUGAUCUGAUAGACUCAAACUCUUCCACUGAGAAUAGUAGGAAAACUGUCACUUCCUGAUUUAAAGUCAUAGGUCUUGGGCCUGCCAGUCCAUCAAAAGUCAAUUCUCUCCUGACACGCAACGAUUAUGGGAGAGGCAAGUCCCGGAGGAAACAGCUGGGCCAGAGGGGGCUCAGCAGUUGGGGAAGAAAAGGCUAGGAGGAGGAGAAGUGAGGGGCUUCCGCUGGUGUGAGGGGCAGCCAGGAAGAGAGCCACAUUCUUGACUUCAUAUCCUUGCUCUCCUAACUUUUUAAAAGUUUAAAUAAGCUUCUGGAAAUGUUUCCUUACCUUGUGACCUCAAACAAAUUUCCAUAAAGGUAAAUAAGUAUAAAAAUAAAUAUAUAGCCAAAUUUUUUUAGAAUGCCCAAGAGAUUUGGAAUUUGAGACCUUUUGGCAUAGUCUUGAGUUUUUCCUUUUUGAGCUGUGUCACUGGUACCUCCCAAAGAGCUGGCCAUAUUGGCCUCAGUCUCGCAAACACAACUUCCUUUAUCUUAGCUGAAGGAAAUAGGCCUGUAGCUCCAUCCUGGCCCCUUAGCAAUUCCCCUGGGCCCAGGUGCCUUCUCAAACCCCAUAGGGCCACACGGAGGAUUCCCAGAAUUUCCCUCUAUCUCAAGCUGGGGCACCUUGACAGAAAGGUAGGCAGGGGAACAGAUCGUUCCUGCUUGUUGGCACUGUGGACUGGUGAUUUCUUCUACUCUGACCCACAUGGCGUCACCAUGAGUCAGAAUGGAUUCGACAGCAGCUGGUACUAGUGAGCUUUCCUCAGGUUAUUUGUGAAACUUUAGUACUGCUAAGGUCAUUUGCCAAAACCAGAUGGAGACAAACUCGUAAAACAACUACUUGAAUUUUCUCUGCCUGGGUAAGGGGCAGGUGAGUCCUUGUUCCCUGGGGGUUUAAUUUUAACUCUCUGGAAAAAUAUGUGUCAUCUGUUGAUGCUCCCACUGAGCUGUUUUCAGGCCCCAAGCAGAGCAUCCUCAGACAACUGCUCAUCCUGGAUUCCUCUUCUAGGAUCUCUAUAGCAACCUGGGUACCAGCAGGAAGAUCCAGACACACAGCAGGGCCCUGCUUACCAGGCCUAACAAAGAGUACAGUACUGUGCAGUCCACACACACAGGAAGUGUUCUUUUGCAGAGGACUUUUUGUCUUAAAGACAAAGUUCUGAGGGAACAAAAACACCCUUCGUUGACCAUGAAGGAACUUUAAAAAUCACAGGCUUUCUACACAAUUCUAGGUAAAUGUUUAAUAAAUUUGUUUCUUGUUAUAUUUUUCAUGUCAGGUGUUCAUGUUUUAAAUUUACCAGUUAAAGGUCCAGCAAUUCAUUUUUCAUUUUUGUUGAGGCAAAAAAGUCACAAUGCUCUAUCUCUGAAUUAACUGCCGUCUAAACUAAAUCAUCUACCACCUGUCUCUCAGCUUCCUGUACUGUGGUAAUCCGCAUGUUGCUAUGAUGCUGGAAGCUAUGCCUCCAGUAUUUCAAAUACCAACAGAGUUGCCCAUGGUGGACAGAUUUCAGUGGCACUUCAAGACUAAGGCAGACUAGGAAAAAGGGCCUGUUAUUGUACUUCCAAAAAUUAGCCAAUGAGAAUCCUAUGAUUCACAGCAGACAUUUUCUGAUAUAGUGCUGGAAGAUGAGCACCCUAGGUUGAAGGGCAUUCAAAAUACACAGCGGCUGCAACAAUGGACUCAAGCAUGCCAACAAUCAUGAAGAUGGCACAGGACCAGGCAACGUUGGUACUUUCGGGUCAUGAGACAUAGGGUCACCAUAAGUCAGAGCUGACUUGAAAGCUACUAACAACAACAAAACUACACUAUAAUAAUUUUCUUGUUAAUCAUUAUCCUCAUUGUUGUUCUAACGGGGAAAAGGACAAGAGAACUGAAAUCUAGCAUUGAGUCAAGCUUGGCUAAGUCCUUCAGUAAUUACAAAGCCCCAACCCGUGUAACCAAGUGGUCUUUCCAGCAAAGACAUAGGACAUGAUCCUUGCCCUGAUUUGAGGAUAUAAGAAGAGCUCAGGUAAAACAAUCAGAGAAUAACACCAGGUUACAUGAAAACAAAUUCUAGGUUCUCUGGGCCAGACACCACUUCCAGAAGAUGAAAAUGACUUUUGCUUAAAUUCUUAGGACCUUGAACAAAUAUAUUCAAAUUAAUUCUGCCUUCUUCCAGAAUUAAAGUGUUCCAGCAGAUUGGCUGUUCUGAGUGCUGUCUUUGGUGAACUAAAGAGAUUCCUUUUUAUUUUCUGGCUGUCUUUUAGCCACCUGGCUUUCAGUAAGUUUUUCUGUGCCUUUUAUAAUGUGUGAAACUACACCACCUGCCUAAACUUCAAAACACUCUUCUGGGUCCAGUUUGCUAAAAUUUAAGCCAACAUUUGAUUGGUUAUCAUUGUUGCUCUUGCUUUAGAAACUAUUUCUCAACCAUUUAAGCACCCAUGUUGAGGCUUCUGCACUUUAAAGAUUACUCCACGCUUCCUUCCACCCAGUACCCAUUUGGGGAGGUAAGAUGAUUGAACCUUAGGCUUAUUUGCUCCAGAUGAACCUGAGAAAUUCUACUACCUUUGGCCAAUAGAUCCCUCAGUUCAACUCUCAGAACCGAACCACCCACGCCCAGGGCGAACCAGAGGAACAUUUCUACUUCUGGGGGAAAUCAAGGUCAGGAGGGAGGGAGAGAAAGGGCUAGGUGUCCAGGUGGUGGAUCCAGGCUUGAGGAAGCCCUUAUUCAUAGCCUCUUUUUCUUUUUGCUUGAUAUGGAGCAGGCGAUCAGGCACUACUCGUUAAAUGAUAAACUGAACCCUUUCUCCCCUAUCUAGUUCCUGGGUUUCUCCUGGGUCACAUUUUGCUGUUGUUGUUGUUAGGUGCCACCCACUUGGUUCCUACUCAUAGUAACCCUAUUUACAACAGAACAAAACACUGCCUAGUCUUCAGCCAUCCUCACAAUCAAUGCUAUGUUUAAGGUCAUUUUUGCAGCCACUGUGUCAAUCCAUCUUGUUGAGGGUUUUUCUCUUUUUCACUGACCCUCUACUUUAUCAAGCAUGAUGUCCUUCUCCAGGGACUGGUCCCUCCUGAUAACAUGUCCAAAGUGCCUAUUACUAAGUCUCACCAUCCUCACUUCUAAGGAGCAAUCUGGCUGUACUUCUUCUAAGACAGGUUUGUUUGUUCUUCUGGCAGUUCAUGGUAUAUUUAAUAUCCUUUGUCAACUCCAUAAUUCAAAGGCAUCAAUUCUUCUUCCAUCUUCCUUACUUAUCGUCCAGCUUUCACAUUCAUAUGAGGCUAUUGAAAACAUCAUGGCUUAAGUUAGAUGCAUCUUAGUUCUCAAGGUGACAUCUUUUUUAACACUUUCAAAAGGUCUUUUGCAACAGGUUUACCCAAUGCAAUACAUCAUUUGAUUUUUUGACUGCUGCUUCCAUGAGCAUUGACUGUAGAGCCAAGUAACAUGAAACCCUUGACAAUUUCAAUAACUCCUCCGUUUAUCUUCUUGUUCCAGCUGUGAGGAUUUUUGUUUUCUUUACGUUGAGGUAUAAUUUAUACACCUCACCUUAAAGAACAAAGGCUGUAGUCUUUGAUCUUCAUCCGUAAGUGCUUCAAGUCCUCUUCGCUUUCAGCAAGCAAAGUUGCGUCUUCUGCAUGUCGCAGGUUAAUGAGUCUUCCUCCAAUCCUGAUGCCGCGUUCUCCAUCAUAUAGUCCAGUUUCUCAGGUUAUUUGCUCAGCAGACAGAUUUAAUAAGUUUGGGGAAAGGAUACAACCCUGAUACACGCUUUUCCUGAUUUUAAACCACACAGUAUCCCCUUGUUUUGUUCGAACUACUGCCUCUUGGUCUAUGUAAAGUUUCCACGUGAGCACAAUUAAGUGUUCUGGAAUUCCCAUACUUCGAAACAUUUUCCAUAAUUCGUUAUGAUCUAUGUAGUCAACUGCCUUUGCAUAAUCAAUAAAACACAGGUAAACAUCUUCCUGGUAUUCUCUGCUUUCAGCCAAGAUUCAUCUGAGAUCAGCAAUGAUAACGUCCUCUUCUGAACCCGGCUUGAAUUUCUGUCAGUUCCCCCCAGUUGUACUGCUGCAACCACUUUUGAAUGAUCUUUAGCAAAAUUUUACUUGUGUGUGAUAUUAAUGACAGAGUUCAAUAAUUUCCACAUUCCGUUGGAUUUCUUUGGAAAUGGGCACAUAUAUGGAUCUUUUCCAGUCAGUUGUCCGGGUAGCUGUCUUCCAAAUUUCUUGGCACAGACAAGUGAGCCCCCCCAGUGCUGCAUCCAUUCCUUGAAACAUCCAUCAAUUCCUGGAGCCUGAUUUUUGCCAUUGCCUUCAGUGUAGCUUGGACUUCUUCCUUCAGUACCAUUGCUUCUUGAUCAUAUGGUACCUCCCGAAAUGGUUGAAAUGGCACAGUGACUCUGUAUUCCUUCCAUCUUCUUUCGAUGUUUCCUUCCAAAAAAGAAAACACAAACCCUUUGUGGUCGAGUCGAUUCCAACUCUUAGCGACCCUAUAGAAACAGAGUAGAACUGCCCCAUAGAGUUUCCAAGGAGCGCCUGGUAGAUUUGAACAGCUGACCUUUUGUUUAGCAACCGCAGCACUUUAACCACUACACCACCAGGGUUUCUGACGCUUCCUUAGUCGUUCAAUAUUUUGCCUGUAAAACCCUCUAAUAUUACAACUUGAGGCUUGAAUUUUUUCUUCAGUUCUUUCAACUUGAGAAAUGCCAAGCACAUUCUUCCCUUUUGGUUUUCUAACUCCAGGUCUUUGCACAUUUCAUUAUAAUAAAUACUUCACUUUGUCUUCUCGAGCUGCCCUUUGAAAUCUUCUGGUCAGCUCUUUUACUUUGUCAUUUCUUCUGUUUGCUUUAGCUACUCUACAUUCAAGAGCAACCUUCAGAGUCUCUUCUGACAUCCAUUUUGAUCUUUUCUUUCUUUCCUGUCUUUUUAAUGACAUUUUGUUUUCUUCAUGUAUGAUGCCUUUGAUGCCAUUCCACAACUUGUCUGGUUUUCGGUCACUAGUGUUCAACGUGUCAAAUCUGUUCUUGAGAUGGUCUCUAAAUUCAGGUGGGAUGUACUUGAGGUCGUGCUUUGGCUCUUGUAGACUCGUUUUAAUUUUCUUCAGCUUCAACUUGUAUAUGAGCAAUUGAUGGUCUGUUCUGCAGUAGACCCCUAGCCUUGUUCUGACUGAUAAUAUUGAGCUUCUUCAUCAUCUCUUUCUACAGAUGUAUUCUUGUUGACUCCUGUGUAUUCCGUCCGGCAAGGUCCAUGUGUAUGUUUACGUUGUUGAAAAAAGUAUUUCCAACGAAUAGGUUGUUGGUCUUCCAAAAUUCUAUCAUGUGAUCUCUGGCAUCGUUUCUAUCACCAAGGCCAUAUUUCCCAACUACCCAUACUUCUUUGUUUCCAACUUUCGUAUUCCAAUCUCCAGUGAUUAUCAAUGCAUCUUGAUUGCAUGUUGGUUUGAUUUCAGACUGCAAAAAUUGGCAAAAAUCUUCAUUUUCUUCAUCUUUGGCAUUAGUGGUUGGUGCUUAAAUUUGAAUAUUAGUCAUAUUAACUGGUCUUCCUUGUAGGUGUAUGGAUAUUAUCUUAUCACUGGCAGCAUUGCAUUUCAGGAUACAUCUUGAAAUGUUCUUUUUGACAAUGAACAUGAUGGUGUUCCUUCUCAAUUUGUCAUUUCUAGCACAGUAAACCACAUGAUCGUCCAAUUCAAAAUGGCCAGUAUCAGUCCAUUUCAGCUCACUAAUGCUUAGGACAUUGAUCUUUAAGCAUUGCAUUCAUUUUUGACAACUUCCAAUUUUCCUAGAUUCAUACUUUGUACAUUCCACAUUGCAAUUACUAAUGGAUGUUUGCAGCUGUUUAUCCUCAUUUUGAGUCAUACCACAUCAGCAAAUGAAGGUCCCAAAAGCUUGACUCCAUCAGGUCAUUAAGGUCUACUUGACUUGGAGAAGGCAGCUCCUCCUCAGUUGUAUUUUGAAAGCCUUCUUACCUGAGAGGCUCAUCCCCUGGCACUAUAUCAGACAGCGUUCUGCUGCUAUUCAUAAGGUUUUUACUGGCCAAUUUUUUAAGAAGUAGAUCACCAGGUCCUUCUUCCAAGUCUGUUUUAACCUGGAAGGUAGUCUGAAACCUGUCUACCAUAGGUGGUGACCCUGCUGGUAUUUGAAAUACCCAUGACAUAGCUUUCAACAUCACAGCAACACACAAGUCACCACAGUACAACAAAAUGACAGAUGAGUGGUGGUUAAGACCUUUACUCCUAGGGUAUCUGAAUUUGGAAAUUAAGGGUGGUUUGAGGGCAGGUAGGGGAGCCUCCAGGGAAUGAUGUUCUGCUUCCUAUGUACAGAUAUCUCAUUCCUGAGGGGCCUUAACAUGGAAGUGUUGAACAGAGGCAUUUGUGGUAUAGCCAAUCUCCAAGAUGGAUUCCAGGGAUCCACACCUUUUGUUAAUCACAGCCUUCUGUAGUCUCCUCCGGGGUUGAGUCAGAGCUGACAUGUGUGACCAGUAGAAUACUGUAGACAUUCUGGUAUGUGGCUUCCAGUGCUAGGUCAUAAAAGGCAUUGCAGCUCCUACUUUGCACACUUGAUAGCUUUCUCUGAUGGAAGCCAGCUUCCAUGCUGUGGACACUCAAGCAGCCUGGUAGAAAAGUCACAUGAAGGGGAACUGAGGCCUCUUGGCAACAUCCAGCAAAAACCUGCUAGCCUUAUGCAUGAACCACCUUGGCAGUAGAUCUCCAAUCCUAGUCAAGCUUUCAGAUGACUACAGCCCCUACCAACAUCUUACUGCAACCCUAAGUAAGAUCCAAAGCAAGAAAUACUCAGGUAAACCACCCUCAACUUCCUGACAGACAGACAUGGUAAGAGAUAUUAAAUGAGUAUUGUUGUUUUAAGGCCCUAUUUUAGGGUAAUUUGUCUUGAGCAAGGAAGUAACUAAUAUAGUCUUGGUCACCAUUAUUAUUAAGUAUUCAUUCAUUCAACCACUAUUUCCUGCACACCUGCUAUGUAUUUGGUGUCUGUGCUAAACAUGGGAGAUACAUGGUGAAAAAAAAAAAACAGACAUAUAUGGCCUAUUUUCACAGAAUGGACCAUCUAGUAGUGACACAGGUAAUCAAAGAACAACACAAAUAAGUGUAAACGACAAUAAUGACAAGCACUACACAGGAAAAGCAUUCAGCCCUGGAUCAGAUGGAGUUAGGUGAAUGGGAGGGAGAGAAGAGCAUUCUAGACAGAGGAAAUAGCAUGUGCAAAGGCUGAAGGGAGCAUGGCAGGGGACUGGAAGAAGGCUGUUAUGGCCAGGGCCAAGAGAUUAAGGCAUCAGCGAGGCUGAAAGACAAAGACCAGCCCAUACAGAAUGUUGUGGCCGUGUUAAGGAGUUUAGAUUUUAUACUAAGAGAAAUAAGGAAGCCUUUAAAGGUUUUUAAGAAGUUGUUGUUGUUAGGUGCCAUCGAGUAGAUUUUCAACUCAUAGUGACUCCAUGUGACAGGUUGGAACCACCCCGUAGGAUUUUCUAGGCUGCAGUCUUUAUGGGAUCAGGUCUCCAGGUCUUUCUCCCUUGGAGCCACUGAGUGGGUCUGAACUGCCAACUUUUCAGUUACAGCUAAGCAUUUAAUUGUUGCAAUUUUGAUUUUUAAAUCUUUGACUUAAAAAAAUUUCUCUGGCUAUGUAGAAUAUGGGGUUGUGGUGGUUAAGAUUGUGUGUCACCUUGGCUGGGCCACAAUUCUCAGUAUUUUGGCAGUUGUAUAAUGUAGUGAUCACUUUCCUGUUGAAAUUUUGAUACUUGAUCACCCCUAUGAUGGAAUCUGCUGAGUGGUGCCAGCGGUGGUGGGGCCUGCGGCGGCUCACCACCCCCUCAGCCUUCAUCUUUCGACCUUCCACCGUCUACUUCCUUUUCCUGCUCACCUUGCAAAGGUUGUUGGCUUGUUCUGGAUCCAGCUACCUCUUGUCUGACCUCUGGUUCUUGGAACUUGAGCUAGCAGCUUACCUGUCCAUCUUGGGAUUCACCAGUCUUCACAGCCUGCAAGCAAGAGUCUUGCUCCCUGACCUACCUAUCUUGGGUUCCCCAGGCCUUGCAGCUGACUCAGGAGAAGCCUUGCAGUCUUGCCUGUGGACCUUGAGUAUUCCUUGACUGUCACAACCUGUGAGCGGGAUCCCUGCUCUUCAACCUGCUCACCUUGGGUUCACCAGCUUCUGCGGCUCCAUGAAUUGGGAAAGGACUCUAUCCUGAUCCAAGGGCUUGGGACAUUCCAACCCCUACAAUUGUGUGAGCUAUUUCCUUAAUAUAAAUCUCUCUAUAUGUAUUUAUAUGCAUUACUGGUUUUGCUUCUCUAGAGAACCUAGCCUAAAACAGGGGUGGAGGGCAACUGUGAGGUGACCAGUUAGGAGGUUAUUUCAGUAAUCCAGGCAUUGUUUCCGCCAAAUAGUAUAUUUGCAACUCUCAGGUGUAGUCAGCCUUGUACUUAAUAUUCUUUAAAAUGAGUAAGUUUGUACAGACAUAAUUUCUGGCCUCUCAGAGCCUACCUUCUAAAAAAACAACAGUGGUGGGGACAAAUAGGAUAACAUGCAGACAUAACACAGAGAUAGAAAGCUGAGAAAUAAUUCUGUCUCACACCUAGUUCAACCAAUCAAUUAGUACAUAAAGAUAAUAAAGUAAUACCUGUGACAGCUGGAACCUGUGUAAGGUGGAAACUUGCCAGAGAAGGAAAAUAAGUGAUGGAAAGUUGGGAAGACUGCACCCUGUCAAAGACAGAAAACUUGUGAGACCUGGAAAAAAAAAGGUAGUUCUAUGGAGUUUCAGCUCUCACAGGUUUCACUGUAUAACAAACAUUUCUUGAAAACCUAAUAAAUAUGCCAGACAUUUGAUAUUCUUUAUUGAUUUAUGCAUUAGAACAACUUCAUGCUGUAGUUGACUUUAUGUUCACUUUACAGAUGAAGAAACAGGCUCAGACAGGUGAAGGGACUUGGCAGAAGCCAAGCAGCUUGCUGGAUCUGUUUGUCGCGAAGCAAAAAUUAAUUUUAUUACACCCUGUUGUCUCCAUCUUUAUAGGACUCCAUUUGAAGUCCCUUAUGUAGUGGAGAAAGCCUUGUUUGCUACCAGACACUUAAAUUCCAGUUUAUCAUCAUAACAUACACAUUUCUACAGUCAAUACACUUUUCCAAGGUGAACCUCUGUAAAACCAGACAAUAAUCCUGUAUUAUUCAUUUGUUCAACAAAAGGUGCCCAGUCCUUUAAUAAAUAUAUGAGAAUCCCCAAUUGUGUGCAAGAUUUGUAAAAGUGACCAGAGGUAAACGACAUGCGGACCUUGCUCUAAAGGAACCUAUGUGUGAAAUGCACACUGUUUUGAGUAAUAGGAAACCUCCCUUUUUGAGAACUCUGUCUUCUUACAUUUCAUUUACAGAAUUAGAUGGAAGCUGCUGUAUUAGUAAAGCAUGAUCAAAUCUGCUCCCUGUAGUUGAUUGGCCCUGAAGUUGGUUCUAGCCUGAAUCUAGGCCAAUAAGAAUCCUUCUUUGGGAAGUUGGAAGUGGAACUAAGAGAAGUCAGUUUUGGCCUGGGACCUGAAUUUCAAGAUGAAACUUUAGGGGGGCUUCUGGUAGACAUGUUUUGCUGUGUGGUGGUAAAGGAGAGGAAGCUGGCUGGUAAUAAAAAUGAAAAUGGAGCAGAGCUGCAGAGAGAUGUAGCUAUGAGUUCAUGUUAAAGCUAAACAGAGCCUUGGUCAAUGCUGUGCUGUACAGCUCCAGGGAGCACCAUUUACAUUGAUUCCAUAUGAGUGGCACCUCUUAGAACACAACUGUGUAGCAUGGACAGUGUCCCCCAGAGUUGUACAAUGAGGAAGCCCUGAUUUUAGUGGAGGAUGAGAAGGUAAGGGCCAGGACAAAAUAACUCAGGUAUUAAAUAUAAUUUAGAACAGGAAUGACAUACGUGCUGCAAUUCUAUGCCUUCAAAAUCCAGGGCAGACAUUACUAAUUAUCGUGAUCUCCUUUCCUGCUCAGCUCCAGUGUGUCCUACUCAGCCCAGCACACAGGAAGUCACUAUUAAGCAUCAUGACCUUUGCCAAUAUAACUUCCUGGCUCAACAUUCACAUUUCAUUCAAUUACGAGAAAAUAUUUGUCACUCGUAUCACAAACAAGGCAACCCUGGUGGGGUAGUGGUUAAGACCUAUGGCUGCUAAUCAAAAGGUUGGCAGUUUGAAUCCACCAGGCACUCCUUGGAAACCCUAUGGGGCAGUUCUACUCUGUCCUAUAGUGUAUGAGUAGAAAUUAUCAGCAAUGGGUUGGGUUUGGUUUUUUAGUAUCACAAACAAAAUGUUUAUUUCCCUAUUAAAGAAAGAGCUCCUACAAAUUAGUAAGACAAAGACCAACAAGUGGGCAAAGAUAUGAACAGAUAAUUUACAGGAAAGAAAAUACAGCUGGCUCUUAAACAUACAAAAAGAUGCUUAAUCUCACUUCCAUUAAAAGAAAUGCAAAUACAUACUUUUUUUAACCUAUCAGGUUUGCAAAGAUGAAAACAUUUGAUAACAAAUGCAUUGGAUAAGUAAGGUAUUCAGAAAAAUACAUUACUAGAAGUAUAAUUAAUACAACUUCUAAGGAAGCUAGUUUAGUAAUAUUUAUCAAAAUCAUAAAUGCACAUUUGAUCUAAAAUUCUACUUUUAGGAAUUUAUUCACAAAUGUGCUUGGCUGGAUAUUGUCUUGGUCAUCUAGUGCUGCUGUCAUAGAAAUAUCACAAGUGGAUGGUUUUAACAAAAAGAAAUUUAUUUUUUCACAGUCUAGUAGGAUACAAGUCCAAAUGCAGGGUGUCAGCUCCAGGGGAAGGCUGUCUCUUUUGGCUAUGGAGGAGGCUCCUUGUCAUCAAUUUUCCCCUGGACUAGGUGCUUCUCAGCACAGGCACCCCAGGUCCAAAGGACAUGCUAUUCUCCUGGCUCUUGCUUCUUGGGGUAUGAGGUCCCCCUGUCUCUCUGCUGGCUUCUCUCUUUUAUAUCUCAAAAGAGAUUGGCUUAAGACACAAUCUAAUCUUAUAGAUCUCAUCAACAUAACUGCAGCUAAUCCCAUCUCAUUAACAUCGUAGAGAUAGGAGUCACAACACACAGAAAAAUCACAUCAGAUGACAAAAUGGUGGACAAUCACAUAAUACUGGGAAUCAUGGCAUAGCCAAGCCAACAGACAUUUUGAGGGGACACAAUUCAAUCCAUGACAAAUAUGUACAAAAUGGCUUGUGUGCAAUGUUAUUCAUUGUAGCAUUGUUUGUGAUUGUGAAAGAUGGAAACUGCCUAAAUCAACAGGGAAAUGGUUAAAUUAUGGUACAUUUAUUCAUACAAUGGAAUAUUAUGCAGUCAUGAAAAAGAAUUAUGAUGUUCUUUAUGUACUGAUAGGAAAUUACUGCCAAGAUAUACUGUUAUUUAAAAAAAAGCACAAAGCACAGCACAGGAUACUAUGUAUACUGUUUAUAAACAAGUGGGAAAAUAUUAUAUAGGUUUUUGCUUAUAAAUACCUACCCUAUAUCUGGAAGAAUGUCCAAGAAUCUGAUAAUAUUAGUUGAUUGCCACUGAACUAGGAGGGAGAAUUACCACAAUUAAAAAAAAAUCUUUUUUACCUUUUGAAUAUUGAACCAUAUGAACAAAUUACUUAUUCAAAAAUAAAUAAAUGAAAUUAUAAAAUCAUAAGUCAGUGAAUACAUUGACCUUUAACUCAGUCAUCAAAUUGAAGAAAGUAUUAAGUUAGAGGUGUUUCUGGAACCUUGAAAGAACCAAGUUGUGGAUAAACAAAAGACAGUAUAAUCUUAUUCAGUGGUGGUUCCAUUCAUGGCACUCAUUACCCUAACAGUUGACAUGAUUAGAAAAAAUUUUAGAGUCAGUAAAGGUGAUAUGGAUACUGUUUAAUGAUUUUGUCUUUGAGGAAAACAAAGGGAUACAUCUCUGAUCUUAGAAGGUGAUUACACAGAGUGAUAAAGGCUGUUCCAUAUCGAAUCCUGUGGUGCCAUUGUCAGCCAGAUGUGAGCUGGAAUCCUGUCCAUCAUCCAUUUUCUCUGGAGACUUGUAGCAGAACUAAACAGUAUAAGGGCUGUACAUGCUACAAAUGGUGGCUCUCAUUUCCACCUAAGGCUGGUAGGUGGAAAGGUUUAAGUGUCCACAUUGAGCAAAUGGAAUUUGUUUGUGACUAAACUCAAUGGGAACUAGAUUAUUUGAACCCAAGAAGGAUUAUUUUAUUUAUUCUUUAUAUAGUUCUCAGUUUGUGCUUCUGAUAUGUUCUUCUAUUUAGGUACUCUGGGGACUUGUGAGGCAAAUCCUGUGUGGCGCAAAUGGUUAAACCCUUGGCUACUAACCAGAGGUUGGCAGUUCAAGUCCACCCAGAGUCUCCUUAGAAGAAAGGCCUGGAGAUCUACUUCCAAAAAAUUCAGCCAUUGAAAACUCUAUGGAGCACAGUUCACAUGACACACAUGGGGUUAGCAUGAAUCAGAAUUGGCUUGAAGGCAACUUUUUUUUUUUUUAAAUAAUUUUUAUUGUGCUUUAAGUGAAAGUUUACAAAUCAAAUCAGUUCUCUCACAUAUAAACUUAUAUACACCUUUUACUCUCCCCCUAAUGACACAGCCCCCUCCCUCCUUCCAGUCUCUCUUUUCGUGUCCAUUUUGCCAGCUUCUAACCCCCUCUACCCUCCCAUCUCCCCUCCAGACAGGCGAUGCCAACACAGUCUCAAGUGUCCACCUGAUGCAAGUAGCUCACUCCUUAUCAGCAUCUCUCUCCAACCCAUUGUCCAGUCCAAUCCAUGUCUGACGAGUUGGCUUCGGGAAUGGUUCCUGUCCUGGGCCUACAGAAGGUUUGGGGACCAUGAUCGCCGGGGUCCUUCCAGUCUCAGUCAGACCAUUAAGUCUGGUCUUUUUAUGAGAAUUUGGGGUCUGCAUCCCACUGCUGUCCUCCUCCCUCAGGGGUUCUCUGUUGUGUUCCCUGUCAGGGCACUCAUCGGUUGUGACUGGGCACCUGAAGGCAACUAUUUUUUAAUUAGAGACUUGUGUAUGUCACUUGGGGACAUCCUACUCAGGUUGCAAUUUUAUGCAACCAGUAGGUAUCUAUUGAGCAGCAACUAUGACAAGAAUUUUGAGGGAUGAAUAAGACACCACUAUUUAAGACUUUAAGGAGCUCUGCUAGUGUAGCUAACCAAAACGUCGGUGGUUCAAACGUACCAGCUGCUCCUUGGGAAAAAGAUCCGGGAGUCUCCUUCCGUAAAGAUUUACAGCCUUGAAACCCCUAUGGGUUUCAACUGCCCCAACUGCUAUGGGGCAGUUCUACUCUGUCCUAUAAGGUUGAUACGAGUCUGAAUUGGACUGGACGGUAACGGGUUUCGUUUGGUUUUGAUUUAAGACUUUAGGGAGUCUGUAUGGUCUAGUAGAAAGGUCUAGAGGGUGUGUCCUACAGAUCAUUAGCUAAAUUCUAGGCUGGGAAGUAUGGAAAUCUUGGAAUGUUAGGCUAUGGAAUUCAGGUUAAUCAUAUGCUAUUCAACUUGUGUUUCAUGCUGUGUGGGCUUUAGGGAGCUGUUUCGUAGAGAAAGAAAAGAUGUAAACACAGAUAAUUUAUGUUCAUUAUCUUUUAACAUUCAAGUAACCUAAAAGAUGAAGGAAAACAGGUAUUUAAAAGGCAAAUGCUGUGUCCCGUGUUGUUUGUGGUUGGAUCGUCAGUGUGGUGAAGUAGCUCCACCUAGAGGCAGAUGACAUACUUCUCCUCUGUGGUCUCCCCAGGGCUCCUCUCUUAUCUCCACUAGAACUGGGCCUCUGGCAUUUCAGUAAAAAAAAAAAGAAAAAAUUUUUUUUUUUUUCUUUUAGUACACAGAGCUUUUUGACACUGUGGCUUUCACCAAUUCUAUCAGGGAUAUUGGGCUGAGGUGGGAUGGGAGUGGGGGUGGGGGAAAGAGGUCCAUGCAGGUAUGUGGACGGAAGAAGCCUUGUUUUAAGCACCUCUUUCUAAAAUGUUCAGAGCCCUUGAUGUUUUCUUGUUCUUGUUUAUCUGUAAGGUAAAAUUAUUUGCAUGUUUAAAAAUUGGUCUAUCUUAGGUUAUUUGCUCAGUUCUAGCCAAUGCAAUCUAUGGAAACAAAAAUCAGCGUUUAUGCAGCCUAGAGAUAGCAAUUUAAACAUUUUGAGUCAGCUUGAGAAUUGAAGGACGGCAUUAUUUUAACUAACCUGCCUUAGCAGCCACACUUGACUAAAUCUGAACUAAUUGGAAAAAUGAGGCAUGGGAGCGGAGAGAGAAGAGAGGAAAGGAACGCAGCAGAUGCAGGGAGUGAGGAGAGAAAAGGAAAACUGAGAAGAAAAUGAUUCAGUAAAGGAAAGGGUACCAAGAAAAUGAAGACAAGCAGUGGAAAGAGGUAGAUAGCGGUGGGUUAGAAUUUAUCCAACCCCAUUCAAACCUGCAAAGCUGGAUGUGUAAUGGUGCCAGGCACAAAGAAUACAGGCGAAUAUGUGUCGUUGGAUGGUGCCUGGUGAAUGGUGCCUUGGCCCCUUAUCUGUGAAGGUUUAUAAUUUUGAUCGUGUUUUCAAGCCUGGAGUUAACCUUGGGGGUCUCUCAUUUCCCAGGAUUUAUUCUGCAGAAACUCUCAUCUUCAUCUGGCCUCACAGCAGAAUGUGAGGGAAUUCCAGAAGAAGAGUGGACAGAGAUGAGCUUCCAAUUUGGAGUACUUCCAAAAUGGCACCCCAGGCAAUUAUACUGAAGUGAGGAGCAGAUGGCCCCCAACUAAGAACAGCCGCCAAGGUAAGUGGUGAGCAAGAAAGUCUACGCUACACUAUUGAUGUUGUUUCAAUAUUAACUUUUAAGUGAACACUGUUGUUGUUAGUUGCCAUACAGCUCAUUCCAACACAUGGUGACACCAUGUGUGCAGAGUACAACCGCUCCAUAGGGUUUUCAAGGCUGUGACCUAUGGGAAGCAGAUCAUCACAUCUAUCUUCCAAGGUGUCUCUGGGUGGAUUUGAACCACUUAUCUUCUGGCUAGCAGUUGAGUGCUUAACUGUCUGCACCACUUAGGGACUCCUAAGUGAACAUACUUGACAGUUUUAAUGACGUGAUAAAGUUAUUCAUACAUACUUUUAAUAAGCAAAGCUCUUUUUUACUAAAGAUGCUUUUUCCCUAUAGAAUAAAAUUUAAUUUUCCCAGUCUUACUAUUUAGAAAGGGGUGAGACUAAGUGACCAUCAAUAUCUACUUUGUUAAAAAAAAAAAAGAUUCUCUAUCAGCUCAUGACUUUCUUGAAUCUCCCAUAUAUAUAUUAUCAAAGCCCAAUCCUCUUAGUAACUUUUACUCCCUAUACCAUAACUUUACAUUAAAAACAUUAAAGCUACAAGAAGUGACAAUUAAGCCUACUUCAACUUUGGUUCUCUUCUGUCUAUCCUCUUUAUGUCACUUGGGUGGCAUUCUGUCCUUUCUGCCCCCUAAGACCUAGUUGGAGGUUGAUCUGUCUCACUUUACUCCAGUCCACCCAGAUUUUGCUGUCCUUCCAGCAUCACCUGUAUUUACAGCCAAGUACUAAACCGUAUGACAUUAAUUUUUAAGUGCUUAAAUCUUAUCUCCCAAUUAGGUUGAAAGCAGCCUGUGACCAGACCCAAUAAAUGGUGCUACCUAAUGACUAAAAAUCGGUAUGUUUGUCAUUUUUUUCCCCAUGUAAAAAAUAGCAAAAACAAACAAUAAAACUACUGAGGUUAAAGUGGAAGGGGAAUAAAAGGUAAAAAACCACUUUUGUGCCAAAAGUGCCUCUUGGCAUUUGUAUCUUUUUUCCCAGUUCAUCUUGACUAUCUCCGAUUCUCUCCACUACAUUAUAUUGCAUUGUGGUUGGUGUAACUGGGGCUGACAUUUAGCCAGGAUGCCAUCAGUUGAGCUGGUUGUUUCCAGCCGGCACCCACUUCAAUUGUCAGUCCCCAAGCUGGACUGGUUGUUAAAUAUUUUUAUUAUCUCCAGCAAGUACGCUGAUCAGCUGGCAGAUAUCAAAGACAUUCUUUAUGACUAUAGAAUAUGGAACUCCAGAAUUCCCCUAACCCUUCUGUCAUGAAAACGAUGUUAAAGGAGAAUUUUAUGAAAAAGUACUGCAAUAUCACUUCUGUUGUCAUUUUAAUGUGGUUAAUGCUAUACCCACUUUGACUACCUCUAAUAUCUAUUGCUUAGCUUUUCUUAACCCAUAGUUCUCUGAAUUGCCUGUACAUUUUUAAAGCUUUGAAAAGUAGAAAUCUAGUCAGGUGGUGAGAAAGCAAAAAAUAGAGGCUGCUUUGAGUAGGUGUUAUGGAUUGAACUGUGACCCUCAAAAAGAUAUGUUGAAGUCCUAACCCCUGUACCUGUGAAUGUGAUCUUGUUUGGGAAUAGGGUAUUACUUUGAAGAUGUCAUCAGUUAGAUUUUUACGAGGUCAUACCGAAGUAGGGUGCAUUCUGAUCCUUUCGGAGUGAUGUCUUAUAAAAGCAGAGAACAGACAUAGAGACACACACAGAAGAAAGAUGUCAUGUGAAGAUGUAUCUACAAGUCAAGGAAUGCUAAGGAUAGCUGGUAGGCAUCAGGAGAAGCUGAGAGACAGGCAAGAAACAGUUUCUAAGUCCUCAGGAUCAACAUGACUGAUACUCUGGUUUGGACUUCUAGCUUCCAAAACUGUAAGACAACAAACUGCCGUUCUUUAAAGCCACCCACUUUGUGGUGUUUUGUUACGGCAGCACUAGAAGACUCGUACAGCAGGCAAGGAUGAGAAGUAAAUUUGAGGCGCGAGAAAGAGGGGCUUGAAGUUGGGAAUAAGUGGUUGCAACUACUAGGCUAAUUUGUACAUUCUAGUCUAGAUCAGAAGCUCUGAUGCUGUAGUGGUUAAGCACUUGGCUGCUAACUGAAAGGUUGGCAGUUUGAACCCACGAGCCACUCCAAAGGAGAAGGAUGUGGCAGUCUGCUUCUAUAAAGAUCACAGCCUUGGAAAUCCUAUGGGGCAGUUCUACUCUGUCCUAUGAGGUCAGUAUGGGCUGGAAUCAACUGGAUGGCAAUGGGGUUUAGUCUAGGUCUGGAGUUCCUGGGUGGUGAGAACAGGUAACACGCUCAGCUGUUAACCAAAAGGUUGGAGGUGUGAGUCCAAACAGAGGUGCCUCAGAAGAAAAGCCUAGCAAUCUACUUCCAAAAAAUCAGCCAUUAAAAAUACUGUCAAGCAGGAACCAUUCCCGAAGCCAAUUCAUCAGACAUGGAUUGGACUGGACAAUGGGUUGGAGAGAGGUGCUGAUAAGGAGUGAGCUACUUGCAUCAGGUGGACACUUGAGACUGUGUUGGCAUCUCCUGUCUGGAGGGGAGAUGAGAGGAUAGAAGCAGUUAAAAACUGGCAAAACGGUCACGAAAGGAGAGACUGGAAGGAGGGAGCGGGCUGACUCAUUACGGGGAGAGUAAGUGGGAGUAUGUAGUAAGGUGUAUACAAGCUUAUAUGUGAGGGACUGACUUGAUUUGUAAACUUUCACUUAAAGCACAAUAAAAAUUAUUAAAAAAAAAAAAAAAAACUCUGAAGCAUGGUUCUACUCAGACAUACACGGGGUCACCACGAGUUGGAGUUGACUUGAAAGGAACUGGCUUAGUCUGGGUCUUUUAGCAGUGACACUACAGGUGGUCAGCUGGCAAAGAGAGGUCUAGGGAAUUGCUCUGAACACUCCUAGUGCUCUGACAUCAUUGUGACUCUCCCUCUAUUUUACUACCUUGUAUUUGUCUAAAGUAAUCUUAUAAACCCUUUGCACCAAAUUAGUUCUUGUUAACAGUAUGAUAACCUGGUGGUAGCAGCAGGAAAUCUUUCUUCUUAAUCUUACAUUCGUAACUAUAAAGAGCAUUAGAAAAAUAAAAUCUUCAACACUGACAUUUUAUUUUCUGAACUUUUAUCAUUUUUACAAAACAAAACAACAAAAGCAGUAUCAAAAACAGCAAAGAGUUUAUAGAAUUUCUGCACCAGUUUUCAUCUAAGUUGGGAAUUAUGAAACCGGUGCCCACAUAAAUACUAGACACAGGCUGAUUUCCCUCCUGGUCACGUGCAUGUGCUGAUUUGUUUUGGAGCUACUAAAGACUAGUUUUUUAUAAGCACCGGUCAUUUUUUUUGAGAACCGAUUUGGUUUGUCCAACAAAGUAAACACUUCUCGCUGUGUGGCAAUUUUCUUUUUUUAAAAAACACUGAGAUAAAACGUGGAAUGUAUAUUUGUUUGGACCUGAACCAAAUCUUUUGAGAUCCCAAUUACCCUGAAGAACACUGAAAACAUUUGCAGGGCAUAUUAGGUACCAGUUUUAUACCCUUAUAAUGAAGGCAGCCACUAUAUUUCUAUGGAAAACACCAUUUUACUCAGAGGCUGCCCAGAGUUUGAAUUACAUCAUAGUUUCUGCAUUCUUUCUGAUUUGGAUUAUGGUUCCCUCAAAUAGGACAGUAUUAUUGGACCAAAAUCUAUCUUACAGAUUCAUUUGUAUAGCUCAAGACUCCUUGCUCUGGACCCUGGAUGACCACAAAGAAUCUGAGAAGCCAAGAUUAAUGGAUGCUUUUUUUUUU